AUAUUGAGCUGCAAAAUAAUUGUAUAAUGUUAUUCUCUGGUUUUAUUUUGAAGUCAGAUGCAAUUUUCCACACAUUUUAAAGUUUGGAGUUUUUUUUAACCUUUCAUCUUCAAACCUUACAUAACAAUAGAGGCUUUGAGAAGCAGACAAAUGCUAGAUACUUAAUUGCUUCUUUUGUUAUGAUGAAAUAUAUUUCUUUUUCCCCCAUUUCAUCAGUUAAUUAUACCAAAGUAGUUAAAUAUUGUUAAUAGAGUUUGCUUAUGGACAGUUACUGGGUGAACUUACUGGCACUACCUGGGUGAAAUUCCUGGAGGCUGAGAGAACUAGAUAGAACUGUGUAGCAGGUAAUCUAGUAAUCCAAAUCAAAGAUCAGUCUCAAUUUUUGUGUGUACGAAUUUAUUUGCUGACAUUCAAGGCAAAUGGUCCCACUCACUUCUAUCUGUCAUCUCAUUGGACUUUUCAGCCUUCUGAUUGUUCCUUUUGCUCUACUUUGGACAUUCAUUCAGAGAUUUGAUAUAGCCAAUGAUAACUUUUCUCAUUGCUGACAUCUCCUUCCCUUUUCUAACAGGAGUUGCUCAGUGACCCAUGCUCUUCAAGCAUGACAUUACAGUGACUUCCCUGUUAUUAUUUUGGGGGAAGAAGAAGAUGAGAGACAAAAACCACACUCUGCCACUGAAUUAACACCUGUCCAUUGAUGCAGCCACCAGCAACGAUAUUUGGAUCACUUGGACUGAACUGGAAGCAGUAAAUGUCUUCAAGACACUCCAAUAUUAACUAGAAAGAAGAAAAACAAG